GUCUACGGCUAUGCCACCCUGAACAAGCCCAAUGUCUGAUCUUGGAAGCUAAGCAGGGUCGGGCCUGGCUAGUACUUGGAUGGGAAACCAUCUAGGAAGACCAGAUGCUGUAGGCA
rnacentral:rRNA from 1 species